CAUUUUGAAAUGGCCACAAGAACAGAGAGAGAGAGAGAGAUGAGAUUGAGAGAGAGAGCUCGGAGAGAGUGAGAGCUCACGAGAGAGUGAGGAGAGACCGAGAGAGCUUGAUGGCCGAACUCAGCCAUGGCGAUAGCAGCUUCACGCUGCUGUUGCAGCGGCCGAUGGCAGGUCAUCGCUGGUCGGUUGCUGUGGCCAUGGAAGGAGGAACCAAUGGCAGCGAAAUGGUGAAGGAAGGCGGCUGCGACAAGAAGCUUGGUGGCCGGCCAUGGCGGACGCGAGGGCAGCGGCAGUGAAGCAGCAGCGUUGCGCAAGGGAGGCCGCGAUGGCUCUCGCUUGAAGCGUCGGUGGCCGGCGGUCGCGCAACGAUGAGAAGCGGCCGACUAGUGGCCGGAAGCGAGCUGCAACGAUGGUCGUCCAGUGGCUGGUUGUUGUGCCCGCACAGGCGCUGCGCGCGCAUGGGGUUCGCGAAGAAGAAGAAGAAGGCGCGGGAGAAUGGAGAAGUGAAGGAGAAGAAUAAAGAAAAAAAUAAAUAAAAGAAAAAUAGAAAAGAAAAAAAAAAGAAAUAUGAAAAAUUCUGAAAAAUAGGAGAAAAUCUCGAAAAAUUCCAGAAAAAUGGGGGAAAAGUAUGGAAAUUAUUUUGGAGCCCGAGGAGCGUGUCGAAAGCUCGAAAAUGGAGAUUUUGGGGCAAGAUGGCAGUCAAGAAGGCAUGGCCGAGGUGUGCGGUUGCCCGAUUUUCUUCUCCAGAUGGUUUGAGGUUCGACCGGGAAGGCCGUAGUCUUAGAGGAACUGUAGAUUCAGGUUGGAAUUCGUGCCGAGGCAGAGAUGAGGCUUCGAGCCAGAUGUUGCAAGUCUGAAUGCAAGGAUGGAUGGUGUUGGAAGACUGUUGUGGCAACUAGCAUCAUUGCCCAAGAUGUGUGGAUGUGUACUCUCCUGUAUUUUCAUUCAUGUAUUUAUGUGAUUGAAUGUAAGCGUUAUUGAGCACUAGAUGUGUUUAAUUGUUGUAAUUAUCAUAGUGUGAUAAAUUAUUGUGAGAUUAUUCGUUGUUUAUGGCUUAAUUGGAGAAGCCGAGUUUCGGACUGAGUAAAGAUAAGCAAUGUAUGUUCUCAUAAAUUCCCAAUACUCAGCGAUGUGUUGUUAUGCUAGCUUUGUGCCUGGGUCACCUCUGGCUUGCUAUGGGGUGAGCUGAAGAGAGGUGAAGCUCACUCGGGUUUCGGGUCUCGGUCCGCUGAGUUUUUCUUGUUUGAGUUGAGACCGAUUUCUGAGUGGAGCGAAGGGAAGGAUGAAGCCUAGUUCCCACCUAGGGUGUUUCCUGUUGAACAUAGUCUAACCCUUCAGUUGUGGUUCGUCGGGUGAGUAAUCCGGUCGAUUAUUUACUGGUGGCACCCGUAAGUGGGAGCGGGUCGUUACAGUUGGUAUCAGAGCAUGGCUAGCUAUAUGAGUGGGGAUAACUAGCGUGUUGGAAUGCUAAGUAUGGUCGAUUAAGUGAGUCGAUGAUGUCUGGUAUGAAUUCGGAUAUAAGUUGAAAUGUCCUAACUGCUGAGUUGGGGUCGAGAACAGUUAAUUGUGAUCUCAAAAGUUGGACAUGUGGUCUGAGGACCCUAAGGGAUUGUGUCAAGUCAUUGAAGCCUGCAAUGGUAUGUUGGGAUAUUCCUGUUCUAGGGAUGAGAAAAUACCCUGGAUUGAGAUGAUAUACCUGUGAGAGGUAUACAGGUUGAGCAAUGAGGAACCGAAAACCCGGGUGUGGGUGUUGGUGUCAAGAAAACUCGAAUGUGGCAUUCGGGGAUAUGAAGUGUUUUAAGAAUGGGAACUCCUUGAGAUUGAAGUGUUGAGGCUCGUGUGGGGACACGAAGCCGAGGCCUAACUAGUUUGAGAGGGGAUUAGUGGAGCGUCCCUAUGUCAGGGAUUCGCCGAGCUUGUUCGAGGGAAUAGAGUUGUCCCUUGGAAGUGGUGCAGUAAGUCUUGUGCGCUUGCGGUAGAGUGAGCUAUAGUGGGAGUUAGCUUGAGACUCAAGGAAAUGAGUCGUCAGCGGGCUAUGUGGUAAGCCCCGGGGAGGGGGUAAGGUUAAUUGCAGUGAGACUCUGAGGGGAGUCAGGAUGCUAGAUGUAUGUUAUGCGAUGUGAUCGUAUGGUUAUGAUGAUCCUGGAGGGGACCUGACUAGGGUAUGAGUGGACCCUAUUUGGUUUCGUGAUGAGACGAGGUCUAUCCUUGGGAAUGAUAGGUGUGUGGCAAGUGGACCAUAGCGGGUGUUUGUAAGAGAUAGAAAUCCCAAGUAGGUCGAACUGGAAUCUAGGGGAAUCCAAAUUUGGGAUUAAGGAGUUGGGCAUGCGUUGAUAUGCGAGUGAGAGCCAUUGGGUUAGAAAUCCUAGUUGUGAAGGGCCAAAGGACCGUUCAUGUGAUUGAUGGAUGAGGGGUCGAUCAAAACUCUCUUUAUGACGCUUGGGGUCUGGUGGGAUGCCUAAGGUCACGAGACGAGAGGUGAAUAGACCCUCAUUGUGAUGCCUGGAGUCGAGAUGACGCCUAAGGUCACGAGACCCUUGAUGGGAGACGCGGAGGUCACCCAAUGAAGGGUAUGAGCGGUGUGGUCCGAGGGUGAUGAGUUUGUGGCAACAAGACAUCCAUGGGCUAUGCGCGCACAAGAAAUGCCAACUCUGGAUGCCAAGUGGGCAAGGGCAUGGUGAGUAAUGUGGAGGUCCUGAAUUUUAAACUCCAAGUUAUGGAAGCCCAUGCGAGGCGUGCGGGAAGGCCAGGCUGGGCAUCAUGACUAAAUGCACUGUAGGUGUGCAAGGAAAGACAAGAGGUCUCAAUUUACCUGGAGGGUAAUGGUAGGUGCCCUAUGGUUAUGAGUGCCGGAGCUUGAGGUAGGCUCAGCUUGUCGGGUGUGGAUUGAGAGAUCGUUGAUAAUCAAGUUGUAAGAUGAGCUAGGUGGUAAAGUGAAUCAUGAUGGACUUGGAUCUAUCGUUAUGGAAAGUUGGGACUUUCAAAUGUUGAUUGAGAGCCGUGAGAUAUGAUUUUGUGGGGUAAGAUCAUGAGGCCUCAAGAUGUGAAGUGGUUUGAGAGUCUCUUAAGCGGUAAGAGAUGCAGAGUCUGGAGAAGCGAGGCUCAUGGUAUGAGCUUGAGGUUAUCAAAGCAAGGAUAACUAAGUAAGAUGGCUUUGGUAAGAUGGUGGUGGAACCAUCGUAGCUCGGGGAGGCUUUAAGUAGCUUUGAUGCUAUGGUGCAAGGCUUGAUGCGACGGACCUGAUGCUAUGGACCGUGUGGCAGAGGACUAAUAAGUUGGCUCGCGUUGAGGGCAAGUGGCUCAUGGGCCUGAGUAAAUUAGUGAACUGCAGAUGAUGAUCAGAUGUCGAAAAUCUGGAGCAGCACCUUAAGAGAUUUGGUUAGAUGAGACCGAUAAUCUCCUGUAAGGAAUAGGACAUCUAGAGUAGUCCUAAGGAGAAAUUGUGAAACGCAGUAGUGAUCCGAUAGAUUAGUGGCCGAGUAGGGAGCUUGGUGAGCAUAAUGGUUGCGAGCGUGGCGGGGUAGCCACGUCGGGUUCGAUAUCAGAGGUUGGAUCGGAAGCCUUGGAGUCACCCUACGAGUACGAAGCAAAUCAGUGUUGGACUUGAGCCAUGCUGUGGGAACUGUUGUUGGGCUAGUGUAAGGGAGCAACACGAUAUUGAUUAUUAAGUGUUGGCUCUCCGAAGCACAAGGCAACACGAUGGGCAAACCAGUGUUGGGCCAGUGUAUGGGAGUGACACGGUAAUGAUGACCAGGUGUUGGCUCGCCUAAAGCACAGGGCAACUCAGUGAUUAUGCAGGUGGUCAAGGGCUAAAGAUUUGUGAGAUGCACGAUAGGGGUGGCGAAAGCUAUGAUCAGUUCCACAACUCAACCGCGAGUAAUGAGUGGUGUUGAGGCGGUUUAGCAAAUGUUAAGGUGUUAUAGUGUCUUGAGAUGUUCGAAAAAGAAACCCGAGGAAAAAGAAACGGGUCUAGCGUAGGAAUAACGCUACGGUUGAUGCCUAUCGUUAACGGGUCUAAUGCUAAAGACCACAGGAUAUAGACGGUUAGUUCACGGGAGGGACUGCAGCCCUCUAUGUGGAGUAACUUGACUACGGUGGAGACGAUUAGACGCCGAAGACCUGGGGUAUGCUGUAUGUUAUGCUUGAGCUAGACCUAAAUUUCCGUGAGAGUUGAAGAAUCAUGGUAGUGCCUUUAGUUGGCAUGGCAGUUAGAAGGGUUGUGAAUCGAUUGGAUGAUAUCUUGUGGUGUGAAAACAAGAUGUGUGGCGAUGCUCCUUACUAAAGGAUGCUAACGCAAUUGUGGUUAAUUUGAUCGAAGUUGAUUAGGUAAAUUGAGAUGAGAGACCCAUGUGACCUUGCGGUGAUGCAAGAAGAUGGGUCGAUUGGUAGAGUUGGUAAAUGACUCCAGGAUGUUACGUAAGUGCCGUGGAGGGCGAGACUUACGAGUUAGAAGCCAACCAUGAGAUGUGAAUGUUGAAGCGUGUAAAAGUUUCAAGUAUGAGGAUCUCUAAUCAUGUGAUGCGAGUUGUGGUAGGCUGAACAAGUGGAUAAGGCACGGUUCGAAAUCCAUGAAGGUUCGCAAUCGCACAGUCUAGUGUUAGUCCUGAUGUGUCAAUGCGAAAAUGAGGAAGUAUCCUCAUGAAGCUCUGGAUGGAUUUUCGGUUGAUGACACAGGAUCAGUUGUCAGGUGAUAGCAGCUGAUGGCAAUGGUGGGAGCGUGAGGCUCAAGGACUGUGACGUAAAGCCUUGUUGAUUGACCAUGUACAUAAAGGUUCAGCGGGUCUUAGUGGUUAGACCAGGCGGAUGUUGAGAAAGAAAUCCAAGGGGAUAAAAGAUGGUUGGUAAAGGCAAAGUUGUGUCGCUUGAAAGAAGUGCUACUCCGUAGCGGGAGUUAUAGAUAGUAGUGUUGAAAAAUGGCUUGGGUAGAACUUGAGUAGGGGACAACAACAUGGGAUAAACUUCCUAAGGCACUACAACUCUAUCAGGAUAGAUCAGGCGGGGAAAGCCUGCGUGAUGGCAAGUGCCUGAGUAGGAGGAUGAGUCUUACGGCAUUGAGUGGAAGUGUGGGUUCCACGAGAUUAGCAUGGGUGAUUUCCAUGGAGUGGAGCUUAAAUCGAGGCAAUAGUCGAUGAUUGCAAGUGUAAUGCCAGGAGGAAGGUUGUGUUGGUUGUGAGCCUGGCGAUCCGGCUAGAGUUAAUCGAGUUGGUUAGAUGGAAGAGGAGGGCAAAUUUAAGAUGUCGCUAAUAGGUGACGAGAGCACGAAGGAAGAGCUUAGGGGACGAGAUUGGUUCCCAGGAAUCGUGUUUAGGUGAUGAAAUCACCCGAAAGCUGUGAGUAAUACAGCUAGAGGGAUGCCUUGGAGUGUGGGUAAUUGAUGAGAUUUAACCUCGUGGGUGUGAAAGAAAGCAGUUAGUGGAGUCGAUUGGUGAUCGGCUAGGGGUGGUCGAUGGCGACCAAAGGCGCCAAUUGGUGAUAGCAGCAGCGAUGAGCGGUGGCUGGUCAUGGUCGUGCUGCGUCGUGAGAGUAGUUGGUCGGUGGCAUUGGUGGAUCUAGAGUCGAGGUUGCGUUUGGAUGUGGUACCAAGCGAUAGCAAGAGGUCGUCUUAGCUGAUGAUGAUGGCAUUAGAGCCAAUGUGGUCGCUCGUUGAGAGGUGUGAGCUGACUGAAGCAAAUGGUAUAAGGAGAGUCCGGGAGAAGCCAGAGUUUUCAAGGGAUUAGUAAGCCAUCCGAGAAAUGGCAAGAGGGUAGAGAAAUGCUAAACCAAGGUUAGGGUUGUAUAGGUCAAGUUGACCUGUAAUAGUGAGAUGCAACGACCUUGGAAGGAAAUUCGUUGCAGUCAUGGUGUUGUCCUUGCCGAUGAGGACAAAGGUAACCAUUAUGUAUGGUUUAAAUCAGGUGUCUAUUGCGGAGUUAAAAUGAACCUGAGUUAGGAUGGCUGAAAGUUUUGUGCCUUUAGAAUAUAAGUCUCUGUCGAGAAAUGGUGGGAUUUGAGAGGUCCCAAUGAAAUUAAAGCUGGGCGAGUAAAUUUGGCUAGAAGAUCGCUACGAGAGUAAGGGUGUAACUAUGUUGGCUUGUUGUGGUGCGGACCAAAGACACGAGUCAUCCUACAGGUGCGAUGCAAUAAGUGAUUGUGCAGAUGGUAAUAAGCCAAUCACUUAUGCCACGCACCGUGGGUGAUGACGAGGGCCGAUUAAUGGUUCUGCGACCUUAAGUGUAAUGGUAGGAUCCUUGACUCGCGAUAGGGUUUAAUAGCUAAGGUAAGGCCUAGCAUGGGGCAUGAUUGUGAAAGCUGAAUUGGGUGAAGAAUUUAAGAGGGGUUACUCAGUGAAGAGUUCCCUAGUAUGGAUAUGAGACCCCUACUAGCAUAUGAUAUCGGCUAGUAAGAAAGGCCUAAGUGUUUCUGUGUGCUUGUGCGAAGAGCUCCUGGAUCGGAGAAAGUUGUGGCCGAGCAUGGUUAAGCUCGAGGUGAGAUUGUAAUGGUGCAUGCAUCGCCAAGCUCGAGGUGGACUCGAGUAAUGCACGUAAGGUUGAAAUGUGUAAUUACCUGGCAAGGUGUUGGGUAUGUCGAUUAUGCAUAAUCGUAUUGACAAAUGAGGGUCGGCUGGUCAAGGUAGUAGACCAUGUAUGAAAUGGUCGAAGUUGGCCGGGUGGGCCAAAUGAUUGCUUCACAUGUUGUGUUAGCAUGGUUAGUUGAUCGGUAAUGAGAGGUUGCCAUGAGGAUCGACUCAAGCUAUGCAUGCUUACAAUAAAUGGCGGUAUGCCAUAGUGGAAUGGGUGUCCGAGUGUCUUGUGGGCACUAGAAAAGACAUUGCGGCUGAUGAUCAGUGCUAAGACGUUGCUGGUUGGACCAGCGUAAAAUCGUAGCCAUGUGUGAUUGGCAGUGGGAAACGUUGCCGUGUGUGAUCGACGUAAAAUCGUGGUAGACUGAUCAGUGAUGCAAUGUUAGCGAGAGUUAGUUUCUAUUGAUGGGGAAAUGGGAAGUGGACUGCAAAGCGAUGCUUCGAGGCCGAGAAAAUUCGUCCGAUGAUGGAUAUUGUUGCAGUGAGUAGUGGUGCGAUUUGGCUGGAGGCCAAGGCAGUAUUCGGUUGGUGAAUGUCCUCGAGAGGCGGAGGACCAUAUGCCUAAGUAAAGCCUUAAAGUGGGAAUAACUCGAGGUAAAAGCUGAAAAAUGGUUCGGCUACGAGAUUCUCAAGCGGGGGAUUCGGAGAGUAGCCUGAGAAUGUGAUUUUCUUGGGUAGAAGAAUAUGAUAAAGUGAAUUUCGAGGGCGAAAUUCUUUAAGGGGGGUGGAAUGUAAUACCCGGUAUUACAUGGUAUUGAAAAUAAAUAAAUUUUUGAUUAUUUUGAAAGGACCUCGGAUGGUCCGGGAAGCCCAAGGGUCAAUCUUGAUAAAUUAAUUAAUACAAUUGCCGAAUUGAUGGCAGAGAGUGCCUCGGGACUUGGAUGUCCAGGGCAGAGGGCAAGAGAUUGAUGAGAGUCUUGAGAUGAGGAUAGUGACGCUGGAAGCGGUCCGACUGGAAAUAAUUUUUGGAACAAAUGUUGUGUAAGUCCGAGUGGGUGCCAAUACCGAAUAGUCAGAGGUGACCUCCUAGAAGCUGAGGGGACCCUAGGGGUGGUUCGAUUUUCUGAGUAAAGCAACCCUUAAGUGUUUUCGGGUCAAAUAAAGGUCCUGUGCAGGUGCAGGGACGACGUCGGUAUUCCCGAGUAGCUGUCGGUUAUUAAUUUUGAUAAAUUGAGAUUUGGUGUAACUUGGUGGUAUAAUUUAAAGUCUUGGGAGGGUCCAAGAGCAAUUAUAGAAAAUUCUUAAGUGUAAUUAUUAUAUUCCUUAAGUGAAAUUAUGAAAAUAUUAGUGGGUUAAAUAUGUAAUUAGCUUAUAUAUAUAUAUACAUAGGCGUGAGGAAGCUUCCUUGAAGCUUCGUGCCUCUGCCAUUUUGAAAUGGCCCCGAGAACAGAGAGAGAGAGAGAGAGAUGAGAUUGAGAGAGAGAGCUCACGAGAGAGUGAGGAGAGACUGAGAGAGCUUGGUGGCCGAACUCAGCCAUGGCAGUAGCAGCUUCACGCUGCUGUUGCAGCGGCCGAUGGCAGGUCGUCGCUGGCUGGUUGCUGCGGCCAUGGAAGGAGGAACCAAUGGCAGCGAAAUGGUGAAGGAAGGCGGCCGCAACAAGAAGCUUGGUGGCCGGCCAUGGCGGACGCGAGGGCAGCGGCAGUGAAGCGGCAGCGUUGCACAGGGGAGGCCGAGAUGGCUCUCGCUUGAAGCGUCGGUGGCCGGCGGUCGCGCAACAAUGAGAAGCGGCCGACCAGUGGCCGGAAGCGAGCUGCAGCGGUGGCCGUCCAGUAGCCGGUUGCUGUGCGCGCACAGGCGCUGCACGCGCAUAAGGUUCGCAAAAAAGAAGAAGAAGGCGCGGGAGAAUGGAGAAGUGAAGGAGAAGAAUAAAGAAAAAAAUAAAUAAAAGAAAAAUAGAAAAGAAAAAAAAAGAAAUAUGGAAAAUUUUGGAAAAUAGGAGAAAAUCUCGAAAAAUUCCAGAAAAAUGGGGGAAAAGUCUGGAAAUUAUUUUGGAGCCCGAGGAGCGUGUCGAAAGCUCGAAAAUGGAGAUUUUGGGGUAAGAUGGCAGUCAAGAAGGCAUGGCCAAGGUGUGCGGUUGUCCGAUUUUUUUCUCCAGAUGGUUUGAGGUAAUUGAGUUAUUUUCUUUGAAUUAAUUUAUUCAGGGAGUUAAUAAUUAUUCGUUGACUUAAACCCUGUGUUGGGGUUAUUUGAAAUUUUGUUGUUGAAUGAUUUUGGCGAUGUGCAGUAUAGUUGAGGGUAUUGGUUGAAUGCCGGAUGUUAAUUGAGAUGGGGUUUUGUGUGCUUGCCUCUAAGCUCAACCGGGAAGGUCGUGGUCCUAGAGGAACUGUAGAUUCAGGUUGAAAUUCGUGCUGAGGCAGAGAUGAGGCUUCGAGUCAGGUAAGAGAUGGCCCUAUGUGGAGGCGGCCUUGCAAGUUGGUAAAUAUGUUUGAUAAUAUUUUUAUGUUGCAUGGGCGUGUAGUGGUUAUAUCUUGUGUGAUGCAAGAUCUAGUGGACCAAUGGCCAUAUGGAGGACUAGUGUGGUGGGGGCUGAUAGGUUGAUGCCUCAAACCUUAGUGGGUUGUGAGGAUGAGUGGAUCUAGCCUCAUUUGCAUGCAUUUGGCAUACAUAAACAUGAUUAUAUUCAUAUUUACAUGCAUUGCACCCUUACUGAGUCUUUAUGACUCAUGAGGUUUUAUCUCAUGUGUAGAUGUUGCAAGUCUGAAUGCAAGGAUGAAUGGUGUUGGAAGACUGUUGUGGCGACUAGCCUCAUUGCCCAAGAUGUGUGGAUGUGUACUCUCCUGUAUUUUCAUUCAUGUAUUUAUGUGAUUGAAUGUUAGCGUUAUUGAGCACUAUAUGUGUUUAAUUGCUGUAAUUAUCAUAGUGUGAUAAAUUAUUGUGAGAUUAUUCGUUGUUUGUGGCUUAGUGGAAGAAGAUGAAGAUGCGCCGAUGGUGUGAAACUCGAAAUCGAAUAUGGUCUUCUGUGGAGAUGGAGACGAAAAUGAAGGCAGAGCUGGUCUUUUGUGAAGAUGGCGACGAAGCCCAAGUCGAAGAUGGAUGGCAGUGGAUGGUGAGUCACAGGAAGUCGGAGAUGGUCUUCUCUUCAGCGGUGGAUGGCGACUCACAAGAAGUCGGAGAUGGUGACAAAACCCAAGUAGGGCUCAACUUCGGCGGUGGAUGGCAACGAAGAGGAAGAAGACGAAGCCGGCUCGAAUGGGAGAGGAAACCCUAGAGAAAUCGAGAUGGACAAAAGCGAAUGUGUUGUGCGAGCGGUGAGAAUCCCCUGGAAAUGUAAAACAACCCCCCCUAAGAAAACCAUUUCUAGCAAAAGCGAGAAAAAAGCCUCACGUGACCAAAAAUAAGAACUUAAUUUCUCUAGAAAAGAAGUGCAAUCAAACACUACAAAAGUUAAAAUUUAGGUAAAAAAUAGUCACUUUUAAUGAAAAAUAAGUACAAUCAAACAGGCCCUAAAAUUUCUAUAUUUCUGGUCAUCAUGCUUCAUACUUGCUCGCUAGAAAUUCCGUAUGUUCAUGCUUUAAUAAACAUACAUCAGAGAAUAUGCAUAUAUUCAUAUGUAUAUGUACAGGAGCGGAACAAGAAGAGAGUUAAAGUUGGGGGGGCCAAGGCAUGUAUAAGAAAUCGUAUACAAAUAUAUUUGAUUUUGAUUAAAAGAGGAAACUCUAAUUAACACAUAAUUGAUAUUUUAUUUAUGUAAGGUAAAUAAUAUAAAAUAAAAAUAUACCAAAUAGAAAUUUAGUUUUUUCAUGUUUUUGUGAUCCAAAUAAAUUUAAUUUUUUCAUUUAAAAAUUCAAUAUAUAUAAAUCAUCCAUAAAAAAUCAACAACCAGAAAAGAUAAAUGUAAAAAUAAAUUAAAAUAAAAAAGACUAAUAAAUUGAAACAAAAUGAGAGGAAUAAUGACCUUAAAAGUGCUAAAAAAUUAAGUUAAGGAGAUUUGAUUAAUUUAAUUGUUUAUUUGUUA